rnacentral:rRNA from 1 species
UGAAGAGUUUGAUCAUGGCUCAGAUUGAACGCUGGCGGCAGGCCUAACACAUGCAAGUCGCGAACAGGAAACAGCUUGCUGUUUUGCUGACGAGUGGCGGACGGGUGAGUAAUGUCUGGGGAUCUGCCCGAUGGGGGGAUAACCACUGGAAACGGUGGCUAAUACCGCAUGACCUCUUGGGAGUAAAGUGGGGGACCUUCGGGCCUCACGCCAUCGGAUGAACCCAGAUGGGAUUAGCUAGUGCGGGGUAAUGGCCCACCUAGGCGACGAUCCCUAGCUGGUCUGAGAGGAUGACCAGCCACACUGGGACUGAGACACGGCCCAGACUCCUACGGGAGGCAGCAGUGGGGAAUAUUGCACAAUGGGCGCAAGUGAUGCACAUCGGGGUAAUGGGCCGCGUGUAUGAAGAAGGCCCGGGUUGUAAAGUACUUUCAGCGGGGAGGAAGGCGUAAGUCUGAAGGGCUUACGAUUGACGUUACCCGCAGAAGAAGCACCGGCUAACUCCGUGCCAGCAGCCGCGGUAAUACGGAGGGUGCAAGUUAAGGAAUUACUGGGCGUAAAGCGCACGCAGGUCUGAAGGGCUUACGAUUGACGUUACCGCGGUCAAUUAAGUUGGAUGUGAAAUCCCCGGGCUUAACCCGAACGGCAUCCAAGACUGGUUGGCUAGAGUCUCGUAGAGGGGGGUAGAAUUCCACGUGUAGCGGUGAAAUGCGUAGAGAUGUGGAGGAAUACCGGUGGCGAAGGCGGCCCCCUGGACGAAGACUGACGCUCAGGUGCGAAAGCGUGGGGAGCAAACAGGAUUAGAUACCCUGGUAGUCCACGCUGUAAACGAUGUCGAUUUGGAGGCUGUGCCCUUGAGGCGUGGCUUCCGGAGCUAACGCGUUAAAUCGACCGCCUGGGGAGUACGGCCGCAAGGUUAAAACUCAAAUGAAUUGACGGGGGCCCGCACAAGCGGUGGAGCAUGGUUUAAUUCGAUGCAACGCGAAGAACCUUACCUACUCUUGACAUCCACGGAAUCAGGCAGAGAUGCCGGAGUGCCUUCGGGAACCGUGAGACAGGUGCUGCAUGGCUGUCGUCAGCUCGUGUUGUGAAAUGUUGGGUUAAGUCCCGCAACGAGCGCAACCCUUAUCCUUUGUUGCCAGCACUUCGGGUGGGAACUCAAGGGAGACUGCCGGUGAUAAACCGGAGGAAGGUGGGGAUGACGAAGUCAUCAUGGCCCUUACGAGUAGGGCUACACACGUGCUACAAUGGCAGAUACAAAGAGAAGCGACCUCGCGAGAGCAAGCGGAACUCAUAAAGUCUGUCGUAGUCCGGAUUGGAGUCUGCAACUCGACUCCAUGAAGUCGGAAUCGCUAGUAAUCGUAGAUCAGAAUGCUACGGUGAAUACGUUCCCGGGCCUUGUACACACCGCCCGUCACACCAUGGGAGUGGGUUGCAAAAGAAGUAGGUAG